AGACUUUGAUCCUGGCUCAGAUUGAACGCUGGCGGCAUGCCUUACACAUGCAAGUCGAACGGCAGCACGGGGGCAACCCUGGUGGCGAGUGUGGGGGAUAGCCCGGCGAAAGCCGGAUUAAUACCGCAUACGACCUACGGGUGAAAGCGGGGGACCGCAAGGCCUCGCGCUACCGGAGCGGCCGAUGUCAGAUUGUGAGCAUGCAUGACUACUGCAUCGAUGCCAUGCAUCGAUGCAUGCAUGCUACGAUGCGCUACGUACGUAGCGCAUCGUAGGUUGUUGGUGGGCUAUCAGCUUGUUGGUGAGUGUGCCGAUCGAUCGCCCGGAUCGAUCGAUCGAUGCUAGCAUGCUACGCUCGACGACGACUCGAUCCGAUGCAUCGAUCGCGGAUCGAUGCAUCGUACCGACUCGUACGACGAUCAUGGUAACGGCUCACCAAGGCUUAGACGGCUAGGGGGUGUGAGAGCAUGGCCCCCACACUGGGACUGACCUGCACAAACACCUAGGUGGUAGUCGAAAAUCUUAAACUUCUUUAGCCAGGGAGCCUUCACGGCGCUACGCUGGGCCGAUCGGCCAUUCUCGAUCGGAUCGAUCGAUCGAUGCUAGCAUCGCCGAUACGCAUCGAUCGAUCGCUACGUACGAGCGACUCGUCGGCAUGCUAGCUAGCUAGCUACCUA
rnacentral:rRNA from 1 species